UACGAAGGGGGCUAGCGUUGCUCGGAAUCACUGGGCGUAAAGGGCGCGUAGGCGGCCACCGCAAGUCGACUGUGAAAUCUCCGGGCUUAACCCGGAAAGGUCAGCCGAUACUGCGGGGCUAGAGUGCAGAAGGGGCAACUGGAAUUCUCGGUGUAGCGGUGAAAUGCGUAGAUAUCGAGAGGAACACCUGCGGCGAAGGCGGGUUGCUGGGCUGACACGUGACGCUGAGGCGCGAAAGCUAGGGGAGCGAACGGG
rnacentral:rRNA from 1 species